UUUCCUUUACACCCUCCUUUUCUCCAUUUUCUCUCUGUCUUCAACAGUCGACAGCUCCUCUCUCUCUUUCUCAAAUUUUUUCCCUCUCUAUAUCUCUCCCUUUCUCUCUCUACAUCUUCACAUCUCAGAUCUGAUCAGACAUCACUUGAGUGAUUGGGGGUUAAGAAUACAAUAUCCAAAUGAAGAAAGCAUUUGAUCAAACCGUGCGGGACCUCAAAAGAGGAGUGAAUAAAAAGGUUCUUAAAGUCCCUUCAAUAGAACAAAAAGUUCUAGAUGCAACUAGCAAUGAGCCCUGG
rnacentral:misc_RNA from 1 species